AUUGAACGCUGGCGGCAUGCCUUACACAUGCAAGUCGAACGGCAGCACGGGUGCUUGCACCUGGUGGCGAGUGGCGAACGGGUGAGUAAUACAUCGGAACGUACCUUAUCGUGGGGGAUAACGCAGCGAAAGCUGUGCUAAUACCGCAUACGCCCUGAGGGGGAAAGCGGGGGAUCGCAGGACCUCGCGCGAUUAGAGCGGCCGAUGCCUGAUUAGCUUGUUGGUGGGGUAAAAGCCCACCAAGGCGACGAUCAGUAGCUGGUCUGAGAGGACGAUCAGCCACACUGGGACGGAGACACGGCCCAGACUCCUACGGGAGGCAGCAGUGGGGAAUUUUGGACAAUGGGGGCAACCCUGAUCCAGCAAUGCCGCGUGAGUGAAGAAGGCCUUCGGGUUGUAAAGCUCUUUUGUCAGGGAAGAAACACCGGCUCUAACACAGUCCGGGAAUGACGGUACCUGAAGAAUAAGCACCGGCUAACUACGUGCCAGCCGCCGCAGUAA
rnacentral:rRNA from 1 species